UUAAAUCCUAUGAUAAGGAGUAGUAGUUAAAUCUAGUAUCGAUAAAGAGAGUUAAGAAAUGGUGGAAUCUUAGCACGAAUGAUUUUAUGAAUGGACCUUUGAGGAAUAUUGGGAAAGCUUUUGUGAGUAUCCAUUUAUGGUGUCUGCACCUUACAGCAGUAUUUAAAGAGGUAUCAUAUUUGAAGUGUGAUACAAUUUAGGUGGUACCGCGGAUAUAUGUCCGUCCUAUAU
rnacentral:ncRNA from 1 species